rnacentral:lncRNA from 1 species
AUUGGAAAUGCGCGUUCACGAGACCUCACCAUUUUUUCUCUUCCUUUUUGAAUGAAUACAGCAUUGUCUGGUUGGAAUAUUAUCGCUAUUUUACGAGAAAAAUACCAUAAAAAUGGAUUUUAAACAGCGUUUGACAUGCUUCUAAGUACGGUAAUGGAACAUUUUGAAAUGUUUUGUCUCGAAAUGCGCUCGCGCAUUACCCUUUGGAUAGUGACCUGAACGGACAAACAAAACGGAGGGAUUUGCACAUAACUAUGGAUUAUUUGGAACAAAAACAACAUUUGUUGUGGAAGUAGCAGUCCUGGGAGUGCAUUCUGACGAAGAACCGCAAAGGUAUUUGAAUAACGCGCCAUGGGAUUACACUGGCUGUUGAGUAGGUGGGCCGUCCCACCUAGCCCAUAGAGGGAUGACCAUGCCGAAAGGAUACAAUAGGGAUGGCUUGCAUCUCAAGGAUGAGGGCACCGAUGACCUCUGAUGAGCCAUCAAACAAGAAAAAUGACAAUAUAGGAUUAGGAUUGAAUCCUACUACACCAGCUCAGAUGCUUGUCGGAUGUGGCAGGGCUAGCAAACCAUUACGGACUACAAAGGGAAACCGAGCAGUGAGUUGCCCAGUGACGCAGACCUCCCAGACGAGCUAAAUGGUUGCUUCGAGGAAAACACUGAGCCAUGUAUGAGAGCCCCUGCUGUCCCAGACGACUGUGUGAUCUUGCUCUCCGUGGCCGAUGUGAGUAAGACUUUUAAA